CAAUGCCCUUCAAGUGUAAAUAAAGGUUUGAAACUAGAUAAAAAAACGUUUUAUUUGCAGGUGAUGCGUCAUUGGACUCUAGUAGCCCCGGUUUUGUGCCUUCUGUGUUUGUGAACACAAAACAAAGCCAGAACCCCGAUGCAAAGAUGGACAGGUACCAUAGGAAAAGGAGGAGAGAUGACAGACCUACCACUGCAGCAAAUCCUCCUGUUCCUUCUGAAACACCAGAACAAGAAUGCAGCAUGGAUCACUGUUCUGGCUUGUCAGCACUGCAACACCUGGGUCCACAACCUGCAGUUCCCGGAUGUCAUCAUCUGUCAACACUGAAAAUAGAGCCACAAAAAUAGACAAUAAUUGUGCUGCAUAAUCGUCAUUUUAAGAAUACUGACUGAAUUAUUCUUAAACCAGGUGUAAAAUAGAUGACAAAUAAUCUGAAGACAUGCACAGACAUAUUAAAGCUAACAUAACAAAUGAUACUGACAUUAUUCAAACUGUGUCUGUAGGCCUUUUCAUCUAUCUAUGCAUAAAUCCUCAGAAUUAAUAAAAUGCACUACGGCAAAAGGAAACUUAUCUAGGCUCUGUCAACUAUUACAUGCCUCUGGGUGUGAUACCACUCAUCCUAGCAGAUGUUGAAGCUGCUGGAAGCUGCCUACUUAGCCUCUUUGGUUUUUGGAAGCUGAUUUCCCUCAAUGGAGCUGGUCUGACUUCUUUCCUGCUGAUAUCUUUCCACAUGCACACUCCAGAAGUAACCGCUGCUUUCUCUGUCCUUCCCAUCCUGACAUAGAGCUCAACUUUGAACAAUAUUGCUGCAGCAUGACCCAAGUCUGAAAUUUCACAAAAACAUAAUAAACAUACUGUCUGCUCCAUAAUGUUAUGACCGGGGCUUGAAAGUAACAUUUUCUCUCAGACACAUGUCGUCUCUGGCUAUGAAGUAGGUGACUUACUAGACAUGUGAACAUGUAUCCGACCUAAGCUUAAUCAGGUUUUGAAUAUUUUGAACCCUGUUGCCACUGUGUGUAGUUCAUGGAAAUGUUAGUUUCAAACCCUGGUUAUGAGAAAGUUACAGGGACCAGGCAUACCAUUCUUGAUAUGGAAAGCAGAGUAAUAGCCUAAUGUAAACCUGAAAGGGCAGUAACACACAAGCAUAAUUCAUCUUUGCAUAACAACUAAGUAUAUCAUAGAGCUCUGAACUAUGUUAGCUACAACACCAAAUAAUAGGCAACUUACCCCGCCAUACAGGUGCAAUUCACUGUGAGGACGUCGUUUUCUCGUUGGUUAUAACCCAAGCCUCAUACAUCGUUGUCUUGUGUCCUUGUCUUCGACUAGGGAGGAUUUCUGAUUCCACCACACAAACCUCAAGAGUCUAUAUAGUGUCCGUUUUCCUAUAAAAGGCCGCUAAGAGGCUUAAGUGGGCUCCAGGCAGUUACGCGUCGUACAAUGAAUCCAAGUCCGGUGAUGAAUAUAGUUUGAGAAUUUUAUUGCUGCAGACCGAAUGACAAUUGAUGAAUGAAAACAUGGUUGUUUGACGACGACGACGACGACGGUAAACAGAAAAUAUAAUCAGGUGCGCCACUAACCCCCUUUCUCCCCGAGGCCCCGCUGAUCUGACUGCCCAGGUAUAUAGAUUAAGCCACACCCAUGUGUCAAUCAAACGGAAGUGACAUGAUCCCAAACAGUGUGACUAACCUUUCAAAAUAAACAAUAAACAAACAGACCAAAUAUGCAUUUUGGCCCCUACAAUUCCGGCCCCUAAUUAUUAUGUUUCAAAUAAUAAUUACAAAUUUGACAUAACAAUCAACAUAGUAUGUAAAUAUAUUUUCUUUCUUCAUUAUUUGUAAUCCGAUAUACGUUGUCCAAGGAAAGAGUGAUUAAUCAAAGUCAAGUGUUCAGGAACAAAGUCAAGGGGUCAAAAGUCAGUUUGGGUCAGUCAAUGAUCCGCUGCCUCCAGUAGUAGGCAGACUUUGGUGAUGGGCCUGGUCAGAAAUCCGGUCUUUGACUUGAUCCGAAGCUGACGUACAAGUCCCUUUUUGUCCAUAAUGGUCUCCACAAUCCUUCCAGUCAACCUGGAGUUGCGAGGCGCUGAAUCAUCCACAAUGAUGACGAUGUCUCCUGGUGUGAAGUUGCGUCUUAUGUUGGACCAUUUCUGUCGUUCUUGCAGUUGGGGAAGAUACUCCUUAAUCCACCUUUUCCAAAAUAAGUCAGACAUAUAUUGAACUUGCCUCCACCUGCGGCGAGCAUAUAGGUCUUCCUUCUGAAACUGUCCUGGUGGCAGGGAUGGCGUAGUUUUGAGAAGCAGAAGGUGAUUUGGUGUGAGUGCUUCAAGGUCGUUGGGAUCUGUAGAAGCCUUUGUGAUUGGACGACUGUUGAGAAUAGCUUCGGCUUCACAUAAAACUGUGUGGAGUCCCUCCUCAUCCAGACUUUGCACAUUUAGUGUUGAGUUGAGAACCUUCCGCACUGAUAUGAUUGUGGUGUGAGCCAGCAGGGGGAUUGAAUAUCCAGUUUAUUCCCUUUUGAAGCAGUAUGUCAUGGAUCUGACCUUGAUUCCAUCCUUCAAUAGCUUCCUUCAACUCGCGCUGUGCUCCCACAAAAUUGGUUCCAUUGUCUGAUCGUAGUUCCUUUACUUGGCCUCGUCUGGCUAUGAAGCGCCGAAGGGCAUGGAUGAAAGAGUGUCAAGCGAUGAGGCCAUUUCAAGGUGAAUUGCUCUUGUAGCCAAACAGGUGAAAAUAACACCAUAUCGCUUCACGACACUUCUGCCACGCUUCACUCCAAAGUAGGGAUGGGCAUUUGAAGAAAUUUCCUUGAUCGAGCAUCGCUAGAGUUAUCGAUCAAUUAUCGAUUAAUCAUUAACUUUUUUUUUUUUUUUUCUUUUUUUUU